ACCAUAUAUAUAUAUAUAUAUAGAGAGAAAGAGGGAGAGAGAGAGGAGAGAGAGAGAGAGAGCGCACACACAAGCCAGGCAUUGUGGUGCUUAUCUAUAAUCCCAGCACUUGGAAAGCUGAGAAUGGAGGACAGAGAAUUUAAGGACAGCUUGCCUCUACAUUAUAACUCUGUCUCACUAAGGAAAAAAAAAAGACAUUUCGAUACUUGGAAUGAUUUUAUAUCUAUAUGUAGGUAAAGGUUUG